rnacentral:rRNA from 1 species
GCCGAACGCUGGCGGCGUGCUUAACACAUGCAAGUCGAACGAAGUGGCGAAUGGGUGAGUAAUACGUGAGUAACCUGCCUUCCCUUUUGGGCUAAGCCUUGGAAACGGGGUCUAAUACCGAAUAAAGGGGGAUGGGCUCGCGGCCUAUCAGCUUGUUGGUGGGGUGAUGGCCUACAAAGGCGGUGACGGGUAGCCAGCAUGAGCGGGUGCACGGCCAAAGUGGUACUUAUAUGCGGCCCAGACUCCGACGGGAGGAAGCAUUGUAGGAUAUUGCCCAAUGGGCGACAUGCUAAUGCAGCGACGCCGCGUGGGGGAUUAAGGCUUUCGGGUUGUAAACCUCUUUCGCUAUCGAACGGGUGAGUGGAUCAGAAACGCCGGAUAACUACGUGCCAGCAGCCACGGUAAUAC